rnacentral:tRNA from 1 species
AGAGUAUAGCUCAAGGGUAGAGUGUGUGCCCAGCAUGCACUAGGUCCUGGGUUCAAUCCCCAGUACCUCCA